rnacentral:rRNA from 1 species
CCUACGGGAGGCAGCAGUGAGGAAUAUUGGUCAAUGGACGAGAGUCUGAACCAGCCAAGUAGCGUGAAGGAUGACUGCUCUAUGGGUUGUAAACUUCUUUUAUAUGGGAAUAAAAUGUUCCACGUGUGGGAUUUUGUAUGUACCAUAUGAAUAAGGAUCGGCUAACUCCGUGCCAGCAGCCGCGGUAAUACGGAGGAUCCGAGCGUUAUCCGGAUUUAUUGGGUUUAAAGGGAGCGUAGGUGGAUUGUUAAGUCAGUUGUGAAAGUUUGCGGCUCAACCGUAAAAUUGCAGUUGAAACUGGCAGUCGUGAGUACAGUAGAGGUAGGCGGAAUGCGUGGUGUAGCGGUGAAAUGCUUAGAUAUCACGAAGAACUCCGAUUGCGAAGGCAGCUCACUGGACUGCAACUGACACUGAGGCUCGAAAGUGUGGGUAUCAAACAGGAUUAGAUACCCGGGUAGUC